rnacentral:rRNA from 1 species
GAUAUUGAGCGUAUAGCAGUCAUGCAGGCAAAACCGCAUGAAAAAUGUAAAGCGUUAUGUGGAUCGAACAUUAGUAGAGAAGCGUGUGAGCCAGCUGCCAAGAAAAGUCGCUAUUGCUUCAUAAGUACCCGUACCGUAAACCGACACAGGUGGAUGAGGAGAGAAUCCUAAGGCCGGCGGGAGAAGUGUUGUUAAGGAACUCGGCAAAAUGACUCCGUAACUUCGGGAGAAGGAGUGCCACAGAGAUGUGGCCGCAGAGAAAUGGCCCAAGCAACUGUUUAGCAAAAACACAGGUCUAUGCAAAACCGAAAGGUGAGGUAUAUGGGCUGACGCCUGCCCGGUGCUGGAAGGUUAAGAGGAGAGGUUAGAGCAAUCGAAGCUUUGAAUUUAAGCCCCAGUAAACGGCGGCCGUAACGAUAACGGUCCUAAGGUAGCGAAAUUCCUUGUCGGGUAAGUUCCGACCCGCACGAAAGGCGUAAUGAUUUGGGCACUGUCUCAACAACACACCCGGUGAAAUUGAAAUACCAGUGAAGAUGCUGGUUACCUGCGCCAGGACGGAAAGACCCCAUGGAGCUUUACUCCAGUUUGAUACUGGGAUUCGGUACUGUCUGUACAGGAUAGGUGGGAGGCUAGGAAAUGGUGACGCCAGUUGCCAUGGAGCCAACCUUGGGACACCACCCUUAUAGUACUGGGCUUCUAACCUGCAGCCGUAACCCGGCUGGGGGACAAUGUCUGACGGGGAGUUUGACUGGGGCGGUCGUCUCCGAAAGAGUAUCGGAGGCGCUCAAAGGUUCCCUCAGAACGGUUGGAAACCGUUCGAAGAAUGCAAAGGCAGAAGGGAGCUUGACUGCGACACCGACGGGUGGAGCAGAUACGAAAGUAGGACUUAGUGAUCCGGUGGUAUAAAGUGGGAUUGCCAUCGCUCAACGGAUAAAAGCUACCCUGGGAUAACAGGCUUAUCACUCCCAAGAGUUCACAUCGACGGAGUGGUUUGGCACCUCGAUGUCGGCUCAUCGCAUCCUGGAGCUGUAGCAGGUUCCAAGGGUUGGGCUGUUCGCCCAUUAAAGCGGUACGCGAGCUGGGUUCAGAACGUCGUGAGACAGUUCGGUCCCUAUCCGGCGUGGGCGUAGGAUAUUUGAGAGGAGCUGUCCUUAGUACGAGAGGACCGGGAUGGACAAACCUCUGGUGUAUCUGUUGUUUUACCAAAGGCAUGGCAGAGUAGCCAAGUUUGGCAGGGAUAAACGCUGAAGGCAUCUAAGCGUGAAGCCCCCCUCAAGAUAAGAUAUCCCAUCUUCGGAGUAAGACCCCUUGAAGACUACAAGGUUGAUAGGCUUUGUGUGUAAGUGCGGUAACGCACUCAGCUGAGAAGUACUAAUAGGUCGAGGACUUACCAA